rnacentral:rRNA from 1 species
CCUCCUCUGUUCUUCCUUUCUUCCUCUUUCUCCCUUUUCUCCCUCCUGCCCCCGCCCCGUCGCGUGCCGGAUGACGGCCCUACGGGUUGUAAACUGCUUUUAUACGGGAAUAACGCGCCUUACGUGUAGGGCUUUGCAUGUACCGUAUGAAUAAGGACCGGCUAAUUCCGUGCCAGCAGCCGCGGUAAUACGGAAGGUACGGGCGUUAUCCGGAUUUAUUGGGUGUAAAGGGAGCGUAGGCCGCAUGUCAAGCGUGCUGUGAAAUGUCCGGGCUCAACCCGGGCCUUGCAGCGCGAACUGGCGUGCUUGAGUCCGCGGAAAGCAGGCGGAAUUCGUCGUGUAGCGGUGAAAUGCUUAGAUAUGACGAAGAACCCCGAUUGCGAAGGCAGCUUGCUGCAGCGGAACUGACGCUGAUGCUCGAAAGCGCGGGUAUCGAACAGGAUUAGAUACCCUAGUAGUC